UGGGGAAUAUUGGGCAAUGGGCGCAAGCCUGACCCAGCGACGCCGCGUGAAGGAAGAAGGCUUUCGGGUUGUAAACUUCUUUUGACAGGGAAGAGUAGAAGACGGUACCUGUCGAAUAAGCCACGGCUAACUACGUGCC
rnacentral:rRNA from 1 species